UGUUUCCUACGGGGCUCAGCAGUCGUUCCUAUUGCCCACUUUAGGAAACUCUGAUGCAGUGACACCGCGUAUAGGAAGAAGGUUUUCGGAUUGUAAACUAUUUUAGACAGGGAAGAAAAAAGACAGUACCUGUAGAAUAAGCUCCGGCUAACUACGUGCCAGCAGCCGCGGUAAUACGUAGGGGGCGAGCGUUAUCCGGAUUCACUGGGUGUAAAGGGAGCGUAGACGGCCAUGCAAGCCAGGGGUGAAAGCCCGGGGCCCAACCCCGGGACUGCCCUUGGAACUGCAUGGCUGGCGUGCGGGAG
rnacentral:rRNA from 1 species